GGAUUGUAGCUCAGUGGUAGAGCACUUGCCUCGCAUGCAUGAGGCACUGAGUUCGAUUUUCAGCACCA
rnacentral:tRNA from 1 species